rnacentral:rRNA from 1 species
UACGGGGGGGGCAAGCGUUGUUCGGAAUUACUGGGCGUAAAGGGCGCGUAGGCGGUUGGAUAAGUCAGCUGUGAAAACCACGGGCUUAACUCGUGGCCUGCAGUUGAGACUGUCUGGCUUGAGUGUGGGAGAGGAGAGUGGAAUUCCUGGUGUAGCGGUGAAAUGCGUAGAUAUCAGGAGGAACACCGGUGGCGAAGGCGGCAUCCUGGACCGGCAUUGACGCUGAGGAGCGAAAGCUAGGGGAGCAAACGGG